AUGCCAGAGCACUUUAUUCAAAUCCUACAUAAAUCUAGGGUUCCAAAUUCAUUCCUACUUAUUCUUAAUUCAUUACGUAAACCCCUGGCCUUUUCCUUGUCUAAACCUGGGAAUUCAAUUUUUCAGAAAAGAAAAGAAAAGGAAUCACCUUAUCCGAAGCCACCUGGGCCUUUUACCUCCAACCAGCCCACCUCACUUACCUCUUUCAGCCCAGCGAGGCCACCAAUGCCGAUCCCUCCUGUUCUUCUUCUAGCUUCUGUAUGGCAGCUCAUCCAGCAGGUCCACGUUGACGCUUGUGUUGAUUUGACGGCCGGAGCUGCUCCCUUCACCCUAUAA
rnacentral:rRNA from 1 species